rnacentral:rRNA from 1 species
GAUGGGGAUAACCUCGGGAAACUGAGAAUAAUACCCAAUAGAUCAUAAUGCCUGGAAUGGUUUAUGGUUCAAAUGAUUUAUCGCCGUAGGAUGGGACUGCGGUCUAUCAGCUUGUUGGUGAGGUAAUGGCCCACCAAGGCUAUAACAGAUACGGGCUCUGAGAGGAGACGCCCGGAGAUGGGUACUGAGACACGGACCCAGGCCCUAUGGGGCGCAGCAGGCGAGAAAACUUUGCAAUGCGCGAAAGCACGACAAGGUUAAUCCGAGUGUUUUCUGCUAAAGAAAUCUUUUGUCAGUCAUAAAACCACUAACGAAUAAGGGGUGGGCAAGUUCUGGUGUCAGCCGCCGCGGUAAAACCAGCACCUCAAGUGGUCAGGAGGAUUAUUGGGCCUAAAGCAUCCGUAGCUUGCUGCAUAAGUUUUCGGUUAAAUCCAUACGCUCAACGUAUGGGCUGCCGGGAAUACUGUGCAGCUAGGGAGUGGGAGAGGUAGACGGUA